GUGGGGAAUAUUGGACAAUGGGCGAAAGCCUGAUCCAGCCAUGCCGCGUGUGUGAAGAAGGUCUUCGGAUUGUAAAGCACUUUAAGUUGGGAGGAAGGGCAGUAAGUUAAUACCUUGCUGUUUUGACGUUACCGACAGAAUAAGCACCGGCUAACUUCGUGCCAGCAGCCGCGGUAAUACGAAGGGUGCAAGCGUUAAUCGGAAUUACUGGGCGUAAAGCGCGCGUAGGUGGUUUUGUAAGUUGGAGGUGAAAUCCCCGGGCUCAACCUGGGAACUGCCUCCAAAACUACAUGACUAGAGUACGGUAGAGGGUAGUGGAAUUUCCUGUGUAGCGGUGAAAUGCGUAGAUAUAGGAAGGAACACCAGUGGCGAAGGCGACUACCUGGACUGAUACUGACACUGAGGUGCGAAAGCGUGGGGAGCAAACAGGAUUAGAAACCCCUGUAGUCC
rnacentral:rRNA from 1 species